GAAAUGCGAUAAGUAAUGUGAAUUGCAGAAUUCCGUGAAUCAUCGAAUCUUUGAACGCACAUUGCGCCCUCUGGUAUUCCGGGGGGCAUGCCUGUCCGAGCGUCAUUGCGAACCCCUCAAGCACGGCUUGUGUGAUGGGCCCUCCCGCGUCUUGGUCGUCAAGACGGGCCCGAAAAGCAGUGGCGGCUUCGCGGUUAUCCGAUCAGCCAGAGCGUAUGGGGACUUUCUCUCUGUCACACGCCCGCGGCGCGGACCGACGCCUGUCGACCUUUACUCAUCUUUUUCUCGGUUGACCUCGGAUCAGGUAGGGAUACCCGCUGAACUUAAGC
rnacentral:misc_RNA from 1 species